CCUACGGGUGGCUGCAGUGGGGAAUAUUGCACAAUGGGGGAAACCCUGAUGCAGCGACGCCGCGUGAGUGAUGAAGUAUCUCGGUAUGUAAAGCUCUAUCAGCAGGGAAGAAAAUGACGGUACCUGACUAAGAAGCCCCGGCUAACUACGUGCCAGCAGCCGCGGUAAUACGUAGGGGGCAAGCGUUAUCCGGAUUUACUGGGUGUAAAGGGAGCGUAGACGGCGGUGCAAGCCAGUUGUGAAAGCCCGUGGCUCAACCCUGGGACUGCUUUUGAAACUGUGGAGCUAGAGUGUCGGAGGGGCAGGCGGAAUUCCUAGUGUAGCGGUGAAAUGCGUAGAUAUUAGGAGGAACACCAGUGGCGAAGGCGGCCUGCUGGACGAUGACUGACGUUGAGGCUCGAAAGCGUGGGGAGCAAACAGGAUUAGAUACCCCAGUAGUC
rnacentral:rRNA from 1 species